rnacentral:rRNA from 1 species
UACAGAGGUCUCAAGCGUUGUUCGGAUUCAUUGGGCGUAAAGGGUGCGUAGGCGGCGCGGUAAGUCGGGUGUGAAAUCUCGGGGCUUAACUCCGAAACUGCAUUCGAUACUGCCGUGCUUGAGGACUGGAGAGGAGACUGGAAUUUACGGUGUAGCGGUGAAAUGCGUAGAUAUCGUAAGGAAGACCAGUGGCGAAGGCGGGUCUCUGGGCAGUAACUGACGCUGAGGAGCGAAAGCGUGGGGGAGCGAACAGG